CCUGAACUGUGAUUCGAAACACAACAUCGAAGUGGGCCCUGAACUAUCACUUGGAGCCGUUCAGAACUGGCUCUGGAAAUCAUUCAGUACGAAUAUCUGGAGAGAGCGGCACAACACAGAGAACGGCAGCAAAUAUCGAAAGCACAUGGAACAUAAAGUGCUGGAAUAAGAUGAAUCCAACUAUUAACAAUCCACGUUCCCCAUUCACCCGCUCGCGGGGUAUUUUUGGAUCCAUGGGAUCCUUCGUCUUUACCGACCAGCAGCAGCAGCAGCAGCCGGGGCUGCAGGUCCCCCCGAAGGUUCCGCCGACAAGAAUGGACUCAAUGCGAUGCCCUUCCUAGGCCAAAUCCACACCAGUCCUCUGCUGUCCCGCCCAAUGGGUCCAAUAGGUCACGCUCACCCCCCCACCUUCCCUCCGAUAGGGGAUUCAGAUGGAUUCAAUGCUGUGCCACAGAUGGCUUCGAUGGGACCACCGCCCGUGUUG